UAGAUUUUAAGUUAAAAAAACUAAAAGACUUCAAAUCUUUAAAUAAGAGAAAUCUUAAGUCUAG
rnacentral:tRNA from 1 species